rnacentral:rRNA from 1 species
AGAGUUUGAUCCUGGCUCAGGACGAACGUUGGCGGCGUGCUUAACACAUGCAAGUCGAGCGGGACUUAGUAAAAAGUUUACUUUUUACUAUGUCUAGCGGCGGACGGGUGAGUAACGCGUGGAUAAUCUGCCUGUAAGACAGGGAUAACGCCGGGAAACCGGUGCUAAUACCCGAUAACCUCUUUAGACCGCAUGAUCUAAAGAGAAAAGGUGGCCGACAUACAGAUGAAUCCGCGUCCCAUUAGCCAGUUGGUGGGGUAAUGGCCUACCAAAGCGACGAUGGGUAGCCGGCCUGAGAGGGUGACCGGCCACACUGGAACUGAGAUACGGUCCAGACUCCUACGGGAGGCAGCAGUGGGGAAUCUUCCGCAAUGGGCGAAAGCCUGACGGAGCAACGCCGCGUGAGCGAAGAAGGUUUUCGGAUUGUAAAGCUCUGUGAUAUUGGACGAAAGAUUUCCCGUAAAUAACAGAGGAAGCCACGGCUAACUACGUGCCAGCAGCCGCGGUAAUACGUAGGUGGCAAACGUUGUCCGGAAUUACUGGGCGUAAAGGGCGAGUAGGUGGUUUAUUAAGUCAGAAGUGAAAUCCCCGGGCUCAACCGUGGACGUGCAUUUGAAACUUGUAGACUUGAGUGCAAGAGAGGGAAGUGGAAUUCCUAGUGUAGCGGUGAAAUGCGUAGAUAUUAGGAGGAACACCAGUGGCGAAGGCGACUUCCUGGCUUGUAACUGACACUGAGGCGCGAAAGCGUGGGGAUCAAACAGGAUUAGAUACCCUGGUAGUCCACGCCGUAAACGAUGGAUGCUAGGUGUAGGAGGUAUCGACCCCUCUAGUGCCGUAGCUAACGCAUUAAGUAUCCCGCCUGGGGAGUACGGCCGCAAGGUUGAAACUCAAAGGAAUUGACGGGGGCCCGCACAAGCGGUGGAGUAUGUGGUUUAAUUCGAUGCAAAGCGAAGAACCUUACCAAGGUUUGACAUCCCCAGAAUCCCUAGGAAACUUGGGAGUGUAGCAAUAUAGACUGUGAGACAGGUGUUGCAUGGCUGUCGUCAGCUCGUGUCGUGAGACGUUGGGUUAAGUCCCGCAACGAGCGCAACCCUCAUCAGAUGUUACCAGCGGGUUAUGCCGGGAACUCUAAGGAGACUGCCGGCGACGAGCCGGAGGAAGGUGGGGAUGACGUCAAGUCCUCAUGGCCCUUACGGGCUGGGCUACACACGUCAUACAAUGGCUGGUACAAAGGGCAGCGAACCNNNNNNNNNNNNNNNNNNNNNNNNNGCAUGUCCCAGUUCAGAUUGUCCUCUGCAACUCGAGGGCAUGAAGUUGGAAUCGCUAGUAAUCGCGAAUCAGAACGUCGCGGUGAAUACGUUCCCGGGUCUUGUACACACCGCCCGUCACACCACGAAAGUCUGCAACACCCGAAGCCGAUGAGCUAACCUUUAUGGAGGCAGUCGUCUAAGGUGGGGCCGAUGAUUGGGGUGAAGUCGUAACAAGGUAAC